UUUCAUAGCUAGGGUUUUGUCUCGUAGAGUGGUACAAGCCCUUGCUGGCUCCUGCUUUGUUCUACAUUCCAUUUCCGUAGUUGCACUCACACAUUCGCAGAGAGGGGGAGAAUGUUGGACAUCAAUAUCUUCCGAGUAGAGAAGGGUGGCAACCCCGAUCUCAUCCGCGAAUCUCAACGACGCCGUUUCGCCAACGUCCAGCUCGUCGACGAGGUCAUCGAGCUCGACAAAGAAUGGCGAAAACAUCAAUUCGAUCUCGAGAACCUUCGAAAGGAUCUUAACAAGAUCAACAAGCGAAUCGCUCAACUUCGAAUUGCUGGUGAAGACACCACUGAGAUGAUCAAGGAUACGGAGGAAAACAAGAAGUCAGCUGCGGAGGGAGAAGUUAAAGUUCGGGAAGUUUUAAAACAAUUGAAUUCAAAAUUAGAAACCAUUGGAAAUCUCGUUCAUGAUUCUGUUCCAAUCAGCGAUGAUGAGGCAAACAAUGCGGUUAUAAGAUCAUGGGGUGAGAAACGGUUGGAGCCAAAACUAAAGAAUCAUGUUGAGCUUGUUGAGCUCCUUGGGAUUGCAGAUUUAAAGAAAGGUACUGAUGUGGCUGGAGGUAGAGGUUUCUACUUGAAAGGAGAUGGAGUGCGUCUUAAUCAAGCUCUGAUCAACUUUGGUCUUGAAUUUUUGGAGAAAAGAGGAUAUACACCAUUGCAGACUCCAUUUUUCAUGAGAAAAGAUAUCAUGGCAAAGUGUGCUCAAUUAGCACAAUUUGAUGAAGAACUUUACAAGGUAACUGGUGAGGGUGAUGACAAAUAUCUGAUUGCUACAGCUGAACAACCACUUUGUGCAUAUCAUUUGGAUGAUUGGAUCCAUCCUUCUGAGCUACCCUUAAGAUAUGCUGGUUAUUCGUCCUGCUUUCGUAAAGAGGCUGGUUCACAUGGUCGAGAUACUCUGGGAAUAUUCAGAGUUCAUCAAUUUGAGAAGGUUGAGCAGUUUUGCAUUACUGGCCCGGAGAACAAUGAAUCUUGGGCAAUGCAUGAGGAAAUGAUGAAAAACUCCGAGGAUUUCUACAAGAUGCUAAACAUUCCCUAUCAAGUUGUUGCUAUUGUUUCUGGUGCUCUCAAUGAUGCAGCUUCCAAGAAGUAUGAUUUGGAAGGAUGGUUCCCUGCAUCUCAGACUUACAGGGAGCUGGUGUCCUGCUCAAACUGUACAGACUAUCAGUCAAGAAGAUUAGAAAUUCGAUUUGGGCAGAAAAAGAGCAAUGAGCAAGCAAAGAAAUAUGUUCACUUAUUGAACUCAACACUCACAGCAACAGAGAGAACAAUAUGCUGUAUACUUGAGAACCAUCAGAGGGCCGAUGGCGUUGAGGUACCAGAAGCCUUGCGGGAAUUUAUGGGUGGAAAGACCUUCCUACCUUUCAAGAACAAGCCAGCCGACGAAGCCAAAGGGAAGAAAAAGGCCUAAUUUAUUGUUUAACUAACCUUUGACUGAGACUAAAAUUUCAAUGUUAUUAUCCACCCCUACUCUAUUUUUCCCAAAAAUGAAGCAGCAAAAACAAUGGGUGGAAACAACAUGAAAUUAGAUUGUUUUGAGGCAUUGUUGUUCGGAAAUUGGAAGACCAAUUUUGUGGUCUUUGUCUAAAAGCUGAUUUUGUGAUGGGAAUAGUUGUUACCUAAAUAUUAUAUUGGAUCAUAUCGAUUUUUGUACCA